GAUGAACGCUGGCGGCGUGCUUAACACAUGCAAGUCGAACGGAAAGGCUCCUGCUUGCAGGGGUACUCGAGUGGCGAACGGGUGAGUAACACGUGGGUGAUCUGCCCUGCACUUCGGGAUAAGCCUGGGAAACUGGGUCUAAUACCGGAUAGGACGAUGGUUUGGAUGCCAUUGUGGAAAGUUUUUCGGUGUGGGCUGGGCUCGCGGCCUAUCAGCUUGUUGGUGGGGUAAUGGCCUACCAAGGCGUCGACGGGUAGCCGGCCUGAGAGGGUGUACGGCCACAUUGGGACCGAGAUACGGCCCAGACUCCUACGGGAGGCAGCAGUGGGGAAUAUUGCACAAUGGGCGCAAGCCUGAUGCAGCGACGCCGCGUGGGGGAUGACGGCCUUCGGGUUGUAAACUCCUUUCGCUAGGGACGAAGCGCAAGUGACGGUACCUGGAGAAGAAGCACCGGCUAACUACGUG
rnacentral:rRNA from 1 species